rnacentral:rRNA from 1 species
GGGGAAUAUUGCGCAAUGGGGGGAACCCUGACGCAGCCAUGCCGCGUGAAUGAAGAAGGCCUUAGGGUUGUAAAGCUCUUUCGGUAUUGAGGAAGGUUGAUGUGUUAAUAGCACAUCAAAUUGACGUUAAAUACAGAAGAAGCACCGGCUAACUCCGUGCCAGCAGCCGCGGUAAUACGGAGGGUGCGAGCGUUAAUCGGAAUAACUGGGCGUAAAGGGCACGCAGGCGGUUAUUUAAGUGAGGUGUGAAAGCCUCGGGCUUAGCCUGGGAAUUGCAUUUCAGACUGGGUAACUAGAGUACUUUAGGGAGGGGUAGAAUUCCACGUGUAGCGGUGAAAUGCGUAGAGAUGUGGAGGAAUACCGAAGGCGAAGGCAGCCCCUUGGGAAUGUACUGACGCUCAUGUGCGAAAGCGUGGGGAGCAAACAGGAUUAGAUACCCUGGUAGUCCACGCUGUAAACGCUGUCGAUUUGGGGGUUGGGGUUUAACUCUGGCGCCCGUAGCUAACGUGAUAAAUCGACCGCCUGGGGAGUACGGCCGCAAGGUUA